GGCCUCGUGGCCCAAUGGCAAGGCGUCUGACUACGAUUUGUAGUGUAAUCAGGAGAUUCUGGGUUCGACCCCCAGCGAGGUCA